GUGGGGAAUAUUGGACAAUGGGCGCAAGCCUGAUCCAGCAAUGCCGCGUGGGUGAAGAAGGCCUUCGGGUUGUAAACUGCUUUUGUACGGAACGAAACGGUCCUGGCUAAUACCCGGGGCUAAUGACGGUACCGUAAGAAUAAGCACCGGCUAACUACGUGCCAGCAGCCGCGGUAAUACGUAGGGUGCGAGCGUUAAUCGGAAUUACUGGGCGUAAAGCGUGCGCAGGCGGUGCUGUAAGACAGGCGUGAAAUCCCCGGGCUCAACCUGGGAAUUGCGCUUGUGACUGCAGUGCUGGAGUGCGGCAGAGGGGGAUGGAAUUCCGCGUGUAGCAGUGAAAUGCGUAGAUAUGCGGAGGAACACCGAUGGCGAAGGCAAUCCCCUGGGCCUGCACUGACGCUCAUGCACGAAAGCGUGGGGAGCAAACAGGAUUAGAAACCCGUGUAGUCC
rnacentral:rRNA from 1 species